GCAUAACGCGAAGAACCUUACCAGGCCUUGACAUGCAGAGAACUUUCCAGAGAUGGAUUGGUGCCUUCGGGAACUCUGACACAGGUGCUGCAUGGCUGUCGUCAGCUCGUGUCGUGAGAUGUUGGGUUAAGUCCCGUAACGAGCGCGAACCUUGUCCUUAGUUACCAGCACGUCAUGGUGGGCACUCUAAGGAGACUGCCGGUGACAAACCGGAGGAAGGUGGGGAGUGACGUCAAGUCAUCAUGGCCCUUACGGCCUGGGCUACACACGUGCUACAAUGGUCGGUACAGAGGGUUGCCAAGCCGCGAGGUGGAGCUAAUCUCACAAGACCGAUCGUAGUCCGGAUCGCAGUCUGCAACUCGACU
rnacentral:rRNA from 1 species